rnacentral:rRNA from 1 species
CCAGAGUUUGAUCAUGGCUCAGAUUGAACGCUGGCGGCAGGCCUAACACAUGCAAGUCGAGCGGUAGCACAGAGAGCUUGCUCUCGGGUGACGAGCGGCGGACGGGUGAGUAAUGUCUGGGAAACUGCCUGAUGGAGGGGGAUAACUACUGGAAACGGUAGCUAAUACCGCAUAACGUCGCAAGACCAAAGUGGGGGACCUUCGGGCCUCAUGCCAUCAGAUGUGCCCAGAUGGGAUUAGCUGGUAGGUGGGGUAACGGCUCACCUAGGCGACGAUCCCUAGCUGGUCUGAGAGGAUGACCAGCCACACUGGAACUGAGACACGGUCCAGACUCCUACGGGAGGCAGCAGUGGGGAAUAUUGCACAAUGGGCGCAAGCCUGAUGCAGCCAUGCCGCGUGUGUGAAGAAGGCCUUCGGGUUGUAAAGCACUUUCAGCGGGGAGGAAGGCGGUGAGGUUAAUAACCUCAUCGAUUGACGUUACCCGCAGAAGAAGCACCGGCUAACUCCGUGCCAGCAGCCGCGGUAAUACGGAGGGUGCAAGCGUUAAUCGGAAUUACUGGGCGUAAAGCGCACGCAGGCGGUCUGUCAAGUCGGAUGUGAAAUCCCCGGGCUCAACCUGGGAACUGCAUUCGAAACUGGCAGGCUAGAGUCUUGUAGAGGGGGGUAGAAUUCCAGGUGUAGCGGUGAAAUGCGUAGAGAUCUGGAGGAAUACCGGUGGCGAAGGCGGCCCCCUGGACAAAGACUGACGCUCAGGUGCGAAAGCGUGGGGAGCAAACAGGAUUAGAUACCCUGGUAGUCCACGCUGUAAACGAUGUCGAUUUGGAGGUUGUGCCCUUGAGGCGUGGCUUCCGGAGCUAACGCGUUAAAUCGACCGCCUGGGGAGUACGGCCGCAAGGUUAAAACUCAAAUGAAUUGACGGGGGCCCGCACAAGCGGUGGAGCAUGUGGUUUAAUUCGAUGCAACGCGAAGAACCUUACCUGGUCUUGACAUCCACAGAACUUUCCAGAGAUGGUUUGGUGCCUUCGGGAACUGUGAGACAGGUGCUGCAUGGCUGUCGUCAGCUCGUGUUGUGAAAUGUUGGGUUAAGUCCCGCAACGAGCGCAACCCUUAUCCUUUGUUGCCAGCGGUUAGGCCGGGAACUCAAAGGAGACUGCCAGUGAUAAACUGGAGGAAGGUGGGGAUGACGUCAAGUCAUCAUGGCCCUUACGACCAGGGCUACACACGUGCUACAAUGGCAUAUACAAAGAGAAGCGACCUCGCGAGAGCAAGCGGACCUCAUAAAGUAUGUCGUAGUCCGGAUUGGAGUCUGCAACUCGACUCCAUGAAGUCGGAAUCGCUAGUAAUCGUAGAUCAGAAUGCUACGGUGAAUACGUUCCCGGGCCUUGUACACACCGCCCGUCACACCAUGGGAGUGGGUUGCAAAAGAAGUAGGUAGCUUAACCUUCGGGAGGGCGCUUACCACUUUGUGAUUCAUGACUGGGGUGAAGUCGUAACAAGGUAACCGUAGGGGAACCUGCGGCUG